AGCCCCCUGGGAGAUACCACGUGGGGGUGCUGGUCCAAAUUCUAACCGCUUCACUAAACUGCAAGACAGGCACAAAUAGAAAGUUGUGACACCUAAAACACAGGAAGUGAACAAACACGUUUAAUGACAAUGUGAAUUACUGUGUAAACAUCUGUGUGAGUGAGUGAGUGAGUGAGUGAGUGAGUGAGAUAGAUGUAAAAAAAAGUGUUUGCCCCCUUGUCACACACGCACACACUGAUUCAGAGUUUUUACAUCUCCCAUUUUCCGGAAGCUCAGUUUUUAAGGACAAAAACGUAUUUUUGCAGGCCAAAAUGCAUUAAAAAAUGUGUUUUUUUUACAAUGUCCAUAUUCGUGUGAACGCAGCCUCACAGCAGUCAAUUAUGCAAAUUCGACCAUGUCGUGACAACAGGCUCAAAGUGAAGCCCAAUUGUACUGAAACUCCUUCAGUUUUGUCUUUGUACACCAGCGAAGCGUAAAAACAGUUCACUGUUUCCACCAUGACGGUGUAAAAAGGUAAAGCAAUUUUCGUGCUUUUAUCUCCGUCAUGCCAGCGUGAUUAAGUCACGUCUUCUACACCACAAAAUUGGCCAAGGAUAAGAACAUUUGAGAGUUAAAUUGAAUGAUUCUCCAGGAAUCGCUUACGUCACCAACGCAGAGGACGAGGAAGAAAGCGGAUGUUUGAAGACGCGGGAAGACUGAAGGGGCUCGAGAAAGCGAAAGAGAAGUAAAACAAAACGUUAAUAAAUAAAUAAAUAACUUACAUACCGCAACAGCAGCUACCUCCUGAUUCGCCGUAACAACGAAAUAAAUCCCAGUGUGCAAGCAACCACCGGCUGCUGCUGUGGCUGGCGGCUGACGGAUAAAUGGACUCUGCGGUGACGUUUUUUUGUUGUGUUUUUUUUGCACCGAAAACGAACUGGAUUUCAUUCCUUGGUAACGAAGUGGUGAGCUGGUAGGGCUGUUGUUUUCCCCUUCACUAUCAAUGGAUUAAGGACCCCUGAACUGAUUAAUGAACUUUUACCACCCAGACUCAAGGACCUCCCAAACCCCAUCAAAGUACUAUUUUGUCUCUCCCCCCCCCCC